rnacentral:rRNA from 1 species
AUUGAACGCUGGCGGCAUGCCUUACACAUGCAAGUCGAACGGCAGCACGGGAGCAAUCCUGGUGGCGAGUGGCGAACGGGUGAGUAAUGUAUCGGAACGUGCCUUGUCGUGGGGGAUAACGUAGCGAAAGCUACGCUAAUACCGCAUACCAUCUAAGGAUGAAAGCGGGGGAUCGCAAGACCUCGCGCGACAAGAGUGGCCGAUAUCAGAUUAGGUUGUUGGUGGGGUAAAGGCCUACCAAGCCGACGAUCUGUAGCUGGUCUGAGAGGACGACCAGCCACACUGGGACUGAGACACGGCCCAGACUCCUACGGGAGGCAGCAGUGGGGAAUAUUGCGCAAUGGGCGAAAGCCUGACGCAGCCAUACCGCGUGUGUGAAGAAGGCCUCGGUUGUAAGACGACUUCAGUGGGAGGGAAAGGACGUAGGUGGCGUAAUAUCCAUCGCCGUGACACUACCCACACGAAGAAGAC